rnacentral:lncRNA from 1 species
UCGCCCUCAAAAUCAUCGGUUCACCUACUAAGACUACAGUAGGAAACAAGGCUAAAAGGUAAAUCCGGAAAGAAAUCAACAGCUACAUGCCACUACACUAUCCCACUGUGUCUACUAUCAAUUCUAACCCAAUCUCAUUAGGGACUGUGUACGCACCCGUCCCGCCUGUCUAAGCCGUGCUACCUCCACGCUAAAUAAUCCGUGGAUAGCAACUAAUCAGCGACAUCAACGCGAAAGCAUAAAGUCAGACUCCGGAGCGGCACUCGUGGGCGCGACCCAACCGAGUAUGCAAGCGUAUCUCUGUCGAGCUCAAUCAGGCUCUCACAGGCUAAAGUCAAGAAAGCAUGUCUAACAAUACUACCAACCACUAGUCACGCUCUCUCGGCAUAAUCUGAUAUCGGAACGAUCAAAUCCGGGUCUGCCGUCAACCACUAUGGCACCCACUAAUCCGCAAUACUGUAAACACUACUGUAAAAAUCGGCUCGGCAUCCCAGCACGAGCGUAACUGAAAUCUGAACUACCUGGGAUACUCACUAUGAGGAUACUGCAACAGUAUAAAAAUAUAACGGCCCCUAGGGCUAAAUCAGGUAGUUUAACAUAUGCCAGGUCCCGCACGCUAGUUUUCUCCUAUGUUUUAUCCAAGUCCAACAUGUAUAAUUAAUAACAACUAAUAACAUGCCCCCAAUU